CCCCUUUUCCCUCCUCUCUCUCACCCAAAUUCCUUCUCCCCAUCUCUUCCUCAUUCCCCCCCCCCUUCUUUUCCUCUCUCCGUCUCACUUUUUCCUUCUUUCUCCAACUUCUCCCUCUCUUCCAUCGUUCCCCAUUUCUCUUCCUCCUCCUCUCUCCCCUCUCUCUGUCUCUCUCUCUGUGUGUAUAAAUCAUUACUUCUUGCUUUUCUGGCUCCUCUAAUGACACACUUGGCAUCCAGCUCUGGAUCAAAAUAAGCCUGUUCGGUUGACAGUACUGUCAUUACAGUAGAGAAUGACUUUCUGGACGCAGCCGUGUUGGUCAUUUCCAUCAGACAGACAUCAUAAUUAAAGAAGAAAUUCUGGACAGGAAACAAGAUGGAAUUGUCAGUUGUGAAGCUACGUUAAUUAAUCAAGAAGGUUUAUAUUUGGGCUGGCGUAAUCCUUUAUGAAUCAGAAGGUCAGGAAGUGUAAAUAUGAAUGAGGGUCGCAGGGAGCCUGGUGCCUAUCCCAGGGGACGGGGUGUCAACCCAUUGCAGGACACACACACUAAUUUGAAAUGCCAAUCAGCCUACAAUGCAUGUCUUUGGACUGGGGGAGGAAACCAGAGUACCCAGACUUAACCCCCAAAGCACGGGGAGAACACAGGGAGAACUCCGCACACACAGGAUGGAGGCAGGAAUCAAACUCCAAACCCCAGAGGAUUGAGCUGAUUCCCCAUCAUUUUUGUGCCUUCAGGGUGUAUCAGCUGCCUGGGAAAGUGAAAAUACUAUGGUUAGGCUGUGAUCCGAGACCAACUUUUCUUAAUACCUCAACUGGCUUGAUCUUUACUCGAUCGAAUGGCAGCUUCC
ensembl:lncRNA